CCUACGGGAGGCAGCAGUGAGGAAUAUUGGUCAAUGGUCGGGAGACUGAACCAGCCAAGCCGCGUGAGGGAGGAAGGUACAGAGUAUCGUAAACCUCUUUUGUCAGGGAACAAAGGCGGGGACGUGUCCCCGGAUGAGUGUACCUGAAGAAAAAGCAUCGGCUAACUCCGUGCCAGCAGCCGCGGUAAUACGGAGGAUGCGAGCGUUAUCCGGAUUUAUUGGGGUUAAAGGGUGCGCCGGCGGUCUGUUAAGUACGCGGUCAAAGCCCGGGGCUCAACCCCGGACCGCCGUUGAAACUGGCAGUCGCGAGUUGGAGAGAAGUAUGCGGAAUGCGCGGUGUAGCGGUGAAAUGCAUAGAUAUCGCGCAGAACUCCGAUUGCGAAGGCAGCAUGCCGGCUCCACACUGACGCUGAGGCACGAAAGCGUGGGUAUCGAACAGGAUUAGAUACCCGUGUAGUC
rnacentral:rRNA from 1 species